rnacentral:tRNA from 1 species
GCCUGGGUGGCUCAGUCAAUUAAGCGUCUGACUUCGGCUCAGGUCACGAUCUCACGGUCCGUGGGUUCGAGCCCCGCGUCGGGCU